CAGGGGGGCAGCAGGAGAAGCAGAUUUCAUAUGACUGGUUUCCUCCAGAGAAUGACCUCUGGUAGUGUGCGAGACUGCCAGAAGGUUGGUGACCCAGCCAAGAAGGCAUGGAGGCUCUGAUAGUAGAGGUGAACCCAGCAAGUUACCAUGGAGUGUGAGUUCAUUGUCCUGAUAGUGGAGUCCGUGUUUAACCUUGUUAGGGGCAUCCUUCGUGCAACAAAAGACUUUAUCAUACACCCACUUGAGGCACCUACCAAACCAGAAGAAAAGAAUGACUAACAUGGCAUGGGAAGAAGCACCUGCUUUUCUUUGAUGAUGGAAUCUACUGACCCUUCACCUCCACUACCGGCCUAGGGUGUCCACCCACUUGUUGACAAA